GGCCUGGAAGUGGCUUACAUCACUUCUUCUGUCUGCUUUCCAAUUGGCUGGAACUCAGUCACAUGACACUCCUAACUGCAAGGGAAGCUGGGAAAAUGUAGUUUUCUACAUUUAUAUACAGGAGGAAAACAAGGACUUGGGGACUACAGAGCCAGCACUGUCUUUGCCUCAUAUUUUACCAAGUUCCAACCAGCAAAGUUUUUCCAGUUUAUAUUUCUAUAAGAAAGAUGAUCUCUCUGGAAGCUAGGACUGCAGCCCUGAUUACUUUUAGGACAGCUGCCCCAUCACUGUCUCCCAGG
ensembl:lncRNA